rnacentral:rRNA from 1 species
UACGUAGGUGGCAAGCGUUGUCCGGAUUUACUGGGCGUAAAGAGCGCGCAGGCGGUCGUUCAAGUCGCGUGUGAAAGCCCCCGGCUCAACUGGGGAGGGUCACGCGAUACUGAUCGACUCGAAGGCAGGAGAGGGUAGUGGAAUUCCCGGUGUAGUGGUGAAAUGCGUAGAGAUCGGGAGGAACACCCGUGGCGAAGGCGGCCAUCUGGACCAGUACUGACGCUGAGGAGCGAAAGUGUGGGGAGCGAACAGG